rnacentral:lncRNA from 1 species
CUACUCUCCAGGGACACACGUUCUCCAAACCUUCAGCCUCAUGCCUCUCCACAGACAUACACUGGCCUCCUCCUAAAACAAAUAAAAAUAAAAAAAAAAAAAUGACUUCAAGUUAAAUGCGAAAUCUGCACUAGGGGGACCGGCCCAGGGCAAGUGGUUAAAUUCAUGCCCUCUUCUUCAGCAACCCAGUGUUUGCCAAUUCGGAUCCUCAGUGAGAACCUACACACGGCUCAUGAAGCCAUGCUGCGGGCUUCUCCAUGUCUGAGCCCCACAGCGAGUCGCGAACCUGAACAAGACACUGCGUUUACCGAUACCCAUCGACCCCUCCAGUUGUUAAUUACUGACCCCACAAGCAGAAUCACCCACACCAACAACAAAUGCCGACAGUCCGACCCUCAGUCGUUAAUCUCUUCACGUGCUUAAUCUGACCGCCAAACGGCAGAUUAUCCAAGCCAAGACUCCCCAGAGACUGAACCCAAAGAAACUCCCAGAACCGCCCUUCAGUGGCCUCACAGGCCCCUCGCUCCGCAGCCACGCACAGACCUCGACCCAUCGGAUGCUGAGCGCCUCAAGUCUCCACUGGCAGCUACCAACGGCUGAAUUCAUUUCCAAAACGAUUCGCAUUCGGGUGCGGCGACCCCGAAGCCCCGUCUCUGGCUGUCGCUAGGGACGCUUCUCGUCCGACUUGGACCCCGGCGCCUUCAUCAAAGUUUGAGUUCUGGCCACGGGCCAGCUCUGUGACGUCACGCGGCCACGCCCAUCUCGGCGAUCGGACCCCGGUGGCUACGACUCACCGCGAGGAGACGAAACUGAAAUCGCCUUUGGGCACCUCCUUGCCUUUCCCUCCUCGCUGUUGAUCGACAGCACUGAGCUGAGUAAGUUUUCAGCGGCCGGAGCCCAGCCAAGGCCGACGCGGCCCGGGCUGUAUUCUGUUUAGCCUCUUGGAGUGAGGGCGGGGCUCUGUGAAAAUGAUGCCCACGGGGGCCUGGGAAUGUGGCUACUUCUGGUAGUGAAGGAAGACGGGUGAGGCUUCAAACAUAUACAGUAUUUCUAAAAAGAAAAAAGGGCAUAUGAGCAAACUUUUGGGACCCCUCUCCCUGGUCCAACAGCUGAAUCUUGCCAGCAAACUACAUAGGCUUCAAGUCAGUGUAAUAAAAAUCCUGCUGUGCUGUGAAGCAGCCGUGCAGGCCAUCUUGAGCCUGUGUCAAAAUGACUUUGCAACCCCACACCUCAUGACUGAAGAUGCCAGCUGGAGAAGUCAGCCACAUGAAGAGAUAAACGGUAACUCGCGCCUACAUCCCCAGCCGCAUCUUAGAGACUGAAGGAAAACUAAGGACCCUAGUCCUUGCCUCGGUCCACACAUAGAUAACGUUGGUAUCCCAGAACGUGUUUGAUGUGUAACCAAGAAAUUCUUAACUUCACUGUGUAAUCUAGACAAAAAUC